UACGUAGGGGGCAAGCGUUGUCCGGACUUACUGGGCGUAAAGCGCGUGUAGGCGGCUCGGUAAGUCUGCUGUGAAAGUCCAGGGCUCAACCCUGGAAUGCCGGUGGAUACUGUCGAGCUAGAGUCCGGAAGAGGCGAGUGGAAUUCCUGGUGUAGCGGUGAAAUGCGCAGAUAUCAGGAGGAACACCGAUGGCGAAGGCAGCUCGCUGGGACGGUACUGACGCUGAGACGCGAAAGCGUGGGGAGCAAACAGG
rnacentral:rRNA from 1 species